rnacentral:rRNA from 1 species
UACGAAGGGUGCAAACGUUGCUCGGAAUCACUGGGCGUAAAGCGCACGUAGGCGGGUUCUUAAGUCAGGGGUGAAAUCCUGGAGCUCAACUCCAGAACUGCCUUUGAUACUGAGAAUCUCGAGUCCGGGAGAGGUGAGUGGAACUGCGAGUGUAGAGGUGAAAUUCGUAGAUAUUCGCAAGAACACCAGUGGCGAAGGCGGCUCACUGGCCCGGUACUGACGCUGAGGUGCGAAAGCGUGGGGAGCAAACAGGG